rnacentral:lncRNA from 1 species
UCUCCUAAACUUAUAAUCGAUUUGAGGGCCUUCAGUAACGUGUUUCUCAAAUUGUUAGAUGAUUUGAACUCCUAGAGAUGUAUUUCAAUUGUCGAAAAUAUCGAAAAGUGUUUUAUCACUUUGGAAUAAUGUCCAGAAAAACACUGUUGAUUGCUCCUUGAAAGAACUUGAUAGUCAAUGUCGAGGUAGCCACUGUUUGUCCAAGUCCUUUUUCGAAUCUCCCCCUUUAGAAUGUUAUGUUACCCCCCUAUUUAUAGCUGUAGGGAGUCGGUCUGGUUGCUU